rnacentral:lncRNA from 1 species
GCAACAUGCCACAUGUAUAAAGAAAAUGCUAUUUUAGAAAUAAAGACAAUCAAACUUGAACUUCAUUGCUCAAGCAGAAAGAUUCAAGGCAAAGAUUGCCUGCAAAAUAAACCUAAUCACAUCCAUUGCUCACAAAUCAGAUAUUAUAAAUGUUUUAACUCGAAAACCCAAAGAUACGAAAGUAGAAGGCCUUUAAAAACCUAAAGAGAAAUUAAAACUAAAGCAACAAAACCUUAACAAAAAAAGAUUAUAAUGAAAAGCCAAAGAUAAGAGGUAGUUUUGCAUCUCAACAUAAAUAUACAACAAUUAUAUACCAAAGUUAAAAAAACAACAGCCACCAACCACAUCAUAAGUCAGGAUGUUUCCAAUAAUAAUAGUGUUACUUAAGAAAACAAAGUCUAUAUUAUAAUCAGAAACACAGAAUUUUAGCAACUUUAAUCAAACUCUUCAUGAUCUGAAAUGUACUAGAACAAGUACAAUUAUCAUCGAAAGUUACCAUACAAUACAACAAAAAUUCUAUGCAAGAUCAUAGACUUUCAAAGAAUCCAAUAAGAAAGAGGCAAUCUUCCAUCUCAGUGCUUAACUAGAUUUAAGUUUAUGAAAUUAAUCUUAAGAAAGUAAUCAAUCAUGCAACAAAGUAAAGUGAAAUCAGCAAAACAAGAAAAAUCAAACACAACACAAGAAAAAAAAGGUACUCUUCAUUGUAAGCACUCAUCCUCAGUGCGAGGCUGGAUUAAGUUUUUGAAAUUAAACCUAAGAUGCAAAAUAUUUUUAUUUGAAUUUAUUGAUUUAAAUCGUUAAAAAUGUAAAAAUAUAUAUACAUGAAGUAAAUAGUGAUAGGCAUAACAAUUCCAAACUAGUGUUAUUAUAUAUAAGCCAAUAAAAUUCCAAAAGAAAAUAACAAAGAUAAUUAUUAUCACUUAACAAAUUGUAAUAAAUAAAAGAUAAAUAUUAUACAAUCCAAAAUAAUAAAUAAAAUAAUUAAAAUUAUGUACAAGCCAAUAAAAUUCCAAAAGAAAAUAAUAAAGAUAAUUAUUAUCUCUUAACAAAUUGUAUUAAAUAAAAGAUAAAUAUUAUACAAUCCAAAAAAGUAAAUAAAAUAAUAAGUAAUAAAUAAAAUAAUUCAAAUUGUAUUAAAUAUUAUACAAGAUAAUUUUAUUAAUUAGAUAAAUUACAUGAUAAAUAAAAACAAUUUUCAAGAUAAAAUACAAGAUGAUGUUAAUUAGAUAUCUAAUUAGUAUAGAUGCACAUAACACCUUCCAUUUCUAAUGAAGUUAAAGUCGCGUCAACAAUGUUUUAAUAUCCAUAACAUUAUAAAAUUUUUAUAAAAAAAUAAAAAUAAAAUAAAAUAAAAUAAAAUUUAAAAAAUAUUAAAACAAAAGGAAAAAGAUAAAAUAAGUAUUAAAAAAUGGAAAAAAUAAGAAAGCAAGGAAAUGAAAAAAUAACGAGUCAAAAGAAAAAAUUAAAAAAAAAUUAGUUUAUAAAAUACAAGCAAAAAAUAAAACAAAUAAUAAGAUAUAAAGAUAUAAAAAAUCCAAGAAGAAAAUAUAAAAAAUGAAAAUGGAUGACAAAGUAGAAAAAAAAUAAUUUAGAAAAUUCAAGCAAAAAAAAGUAAUAAGAAAAAAAUAAAAAAUAAAGGAAUUAACAAAGGGAAAAUUUUAAUACAAAAUAAAAAAAAAAAACAAAACAAGGAAGUGCAAAAAAAAAUGAUAACAAGAAAUAGGAAGAAAUUUCUGAACAAAAUUAGAAAAAGAAGAAAAAAAAAUGAAAAGGCAAAAAUAUGAAAUAAAACAAAAAAAAAGUGCAAUCCAAAAAAAUAUGAAAGCACAUAAAAAAUAAGUAAAGAAAAAGAAAAAAAUUAAAAGGAAAUAAAGUUAAUGAAAAAAAAUGCAACAAAAAAUAUUCAACAAUGAUAAAUAAAAAAAAUCCAAAACAUUAUAAAAAUUUAUGAAAAUAUAAAUAAAAAAAUAAAAAAAAAUAAGAAAAAAAAUCAAUACCAAUAAAAAAAAUAAAAAAUAAACGAAAAUAUAAUAAAAAUAUAAAAAGUAAGAAAAUAAUAAAAAAUAAAAAAGGGAAAUUAAAUAAAAAUGGGAAAAAUGAAAAGGAAUGACCAAAUGAAAAAAAAAUAGUUUAACAAAUACAAAAAAAUUGAAAAACAUAUAAGAAAUAAUAAGAAAACAAUAUAAAAAAUCAAAGACAAAAAGCUAGAAAAAAAAAAAAGAAAAGUUAAUGCAAAAUAAAAAUGAAAACCAAAGAAGAAAAUGGAAAAAAAAAGUAUGAGAAUUUAAAAAUGCAAAUAAGAAAUAAACAGAAAUUUGCAAAAAAAAUAAGAAAAGCAAGAAAAAGAAUAAAAAUGAAAAGACUAAAAUAAAAAAAGAAUAUAAAAAAGUUUAAAACAAUGAAAAAAUAAAAACAAAUAAAAAAUGAAAGCAUAUGAAAAAAAAAAAAAAGCAAAAUGAAAGAAAAUUCUGAAGGAAAAAGGUUAUUGAAAAAAUAUAAAAUAAAAGACAAUAGCAAAAAAAAGACAAAAAAUAGGAAAAUAAAAUAAAAAUAAAUAAUUUUGAAGUUUAUAUAAAUUUUUUAAAAUAUAAAUAAAAAAUAAAGGAAAAAAAUUAAGAGAAAAUAUUAAUAUAAACGAAAAAUAAAAUAAAAUACUUAAAAAAUAACAAUUAAAAAUAAACAAAAACAAAAAGUAAAAAAGUAAGAAAAUAAAAAAUUAGAGAAUAAAAAAAAUAUAAAACAGUAAAAUGAAUACAAAUUUCAAAUAUAAAAUAGAAAAAAAUUUUCGUUUAGAAUAUACAAAGAAAAACAAAAAAAUAUAUAACAAAUGUAGAAAAAAAGAUAUAAAAAAUCAAAGAUAAAAAAUAAAAUAAAAGUCAAUACAAAAUAUAAAUAAAAUCAAAAAGAAGUUCACAAAAAAACAAAAGUCUAAGAUUUUAAAAUUGUAAAGAAGAAAUAAAAAAAAGUGCAAAAAUUGAAUAAAAAUCUCAAAAAUGAAAGGAAAUGACAAAAUAGAAAAAAUAUUUUAAGAAAUACAAAAAAUUGAAAAACAUAUAAGAAAUAAUAAGAAAACAAUAUAAAAAAAUCAAAGACAAAAAAUUUAAAAAGAGAAAAGUUAAUGCAAAAUAAAAAUGAAAACCAAAGAAGAAAAUGCAACAAAAAAAAAACUAUAAGAAUUUGAAAAUGAAAAUAAGAAAUAAAAAGAAAUGUGUGAAAAAAUUAAGAAAAGACAAAAGAUUUAUGAAAAAUAAAAAAUCCAAAACAUUCUAAAAAUUUAUGAAAAUUUAAAUAAAGAAAGAAAUAAAAAAUAAACCAAAAUAAAAAUAAAAUAAGAAAAGAAUAUAAAGUAAAACAAAAAAGAUAAACAAAGUACAAAAAAAUAAAAAAUAAACAAAAAUACAAUAAAAAUAUAAAAAGCAAGAAAAUAAAAAAUAAUUAAUCAAAAAUACAAAAAUUGAAUAAAAAUUUGGAAAGUGAAAAAGAAUGACAAAAUAAAAAAAAUUAGUUUUAAAAAUACAAAAAAUUAAAAAACAUACAAGAAAUAACAAGAAAACAAUAUAAAAAGUCAAAGACAAAAAAUUAAAAAAGAGAAGUUAUUGCAAAAUAAAAAUGAAAACCAAAGGAGAAAUUGAAAAAAAAAGUAUGAGAAUUUAAAAAAGCAAAUAAGAAAUAAAAAAAAAUUUGGGAAAAAAAUAAGAAAAGCAGGAAUACAAUAAAAAUGAAAAGACAAAAGAUUUGAAAUAAAAAAGAAAACAAGAAAGUAAAAAAAUUAAAACAAUGAAAUAAUUAAAACAAAUAAAAAUGAAAGCACGGGAAAAAAAAAAGCAAAAAGAAAGAAAUUUUUGAUGGAAAAAUGUUUUUGAAAAAUUAUAAAAUAGAACAAAAAAUAGCAAAAAAAAAGACAAAAUAAGAAAAUGAAAAAAUAAAAGCAAAAAAAAGUACACAAAAAGAGAAGUCUUGAGAUUUUGAAAUUGUAAAGAAGAAAUAAAAAAAAUGUGGACAAAAAGAUAUAAGAAAAAGCAAGAAAAAAUAAAAAAAGAAAAUACAAAAUAUAUUAAAAAAAUUAAAACAAAAAAAAAAGCAAAUGAACAAAUAAGUUAAAAGAAAAAGAAAAAAAGAAUUGCUGAAGAAUUAUACAAAUAGAAUAGAAAAUACCAAAAAAAUAAAAAAUGACAGCAAAAAUGAGACAAACCAAAAGAAAAAAAGAUUAAAAUAUAAAGUAAAUAUCCAUAACAUUAUAAAAUUAACAAUAAAAAUAAAAGAAAAAAUAAAAUAAGAGAAUGUAUUAAGGCAAAAGAAAAAAGAUAACAUAAGUAAUAAAAAAGAGAAAAGAAAUAAAAAAAACACAAAAUAAAAAAAUAAAUAAGGAAAAGAAAAAAUGAGUCAAAAAAUUUUUAAAAAAUACAAAAACUAAUAAAAAUGAGAAAAAUGACAAAAUAGAAAAAAAUUAAGUUUACAAAAUACAAACAAAAAUAAAAAAUAUAACAAAUAAUAAGAUAUAAAGAUAUAAAAAAUCAAAGAUAAAAAAUUAAAAGAAGAAAAAGUUAAAACAAAAUAAAAAUAAAAACAAAAGAAGGAAGUGUGGAAAAAAAACACAAAUUAGAAAGAAAUGCCAAAAAAAAACCAAAAAAAAAGAAGAAAAACCUUAAGAAAAAAUAAAAAAUGAAAAAAAUUAAUAGAAAAUAAUGUAAAAGACCAAUUAGAUUGAAGUAACAAAAAAAAUCAAAGUAAAAAAAAAAAUACGUAGUGAAAGAGUAAUAGAAUGAAAACAGAAAGACAGUAUUUUGUAGAAAAAAAGGAAUGAAAAUAAAAAAAUAUAUACUAAAAAACAAAAAAUUAAGAAAAUGCAUAAAAAGUAAAAAAAAAAAAACCAAAAAGCUAAAAAAAAGGAAAAGAAAAAGAAAGUAAAUACUGAAAUAAAAAAAAUUCUACAAAGUUCAAUCUUUAAUUUAUGUUUUAAAACUUAACUUGAAUUUGAUAGUUUAGAUGCAAAAUAUUUUAAUUUGAAUUUAUUGAUUUAAAUCGUUAAAAAUGUAAAAAAUACAUAUAUGCGAAGUAAAUAGUGAUAGGCAUAACAAUUCCAAAAGAAAAUAACAAAAAUAAUUAUUAUCACUUAACAAAUUGUAAUAAAUAAAAGAUUAAUAUUAUACAAUCCAAAAUAAUAAAUAAAAUAGUAAGUAAUAAAUAAAAUAAUUAAAAUUAUAUAUAAGCCAAUAAAAUUCCAAAAGAAAAUAAUAAAGAUAAUUAUUAUCUCUUAACAAAUUGUAUUAAAUAAAAGAUAAAUAUUAUGCAAUCCAAAAUAGUAAAUAAAAUAAUAAGUAAUAAAUAAAAUAAUUCAAAUUGUAUUAAAUAUUAUACAGAUAAUUUUGUUAAUUAGAUAAAUUACAUGAUAAAUAAAAAUAAUUUUCAAAAUAAAAUACAAGAUAUUAAUUAGAUAUCUAAUUAGUAUAGAUGCACAUAACACCUUCCAUUUCUAAUGAAGUUAAAGUCUCAUCAACAAUGUUUUAAUAUCCAUAACAUUAUAAAAUUUUUAUAAACAAACAAAAAUAACAAAAAUUAAAAAUAAAUAAUAAAAGGAAAAUAAAAUUAAAACAAAAGGAAAAAGAUAAAAUAAGUACUAAAAAAGGGAAAAAUUAAAAAAAACCAAAACACAAAAUGAAAAAAAUAAGAAAGCAAGGAAAUGAAAAAAUAACGAGCCGAAGAAAAAUUAAAAAAAAUUAGUUUAUAAAAUACAAACAAAAAAUAAAAAAUAAAACAAAUAAUAAGAAAUAAGGAUAUAAAAAAUCCAAGAAGAAAAUAUAAAAAAUGAAAAUGGAUGACAAAGUAGAAAAAAAUAAUAAGAAAAAAACAAAAAAUAAAAGAAUUAACAAAGGGAAAAUUUUAACACAAAAGAAAAAAAAAACCAACAUAAGGAACUGCAAAAAAAAAAAUGGUAACAAGAAAUAGGAAGAAAUAUCUGAACAAAAUUAGAAAAAGAAGAAAAAAAAUGAAAAGGCAAAAAUAUGAAAUAAAAAAAAAAGUUUAUCGAAAAUUUUAAAACAAUGAAAAAAGUGCAACCCAAAAAAAUAUGAAAACACAUGAAAAAAUAAGUAAAGAAAAAGAAAAAUUAAAAGGAAAUAAAGUUAAUGAAAAAAAAUGCAACAAAAAAUAUCCAACAAUGAUAAAAAAAAAGAAAAAAAAUCCAAAACAUUUUAAAAAUUUAUGAAAAUAUAAAUAAAAAAGAGAAAUAAAAAUAAAAUAAAAUAAAAGAAAAAAUCAAUACCAAUAAAACAACAAAAAAUAAACAAAAAUAAUAAUGCAAAAUAAAAAAUCAAAGACAAAAAGCUAAAAAAAAAGAAAAGUUAAUGCAAAAUAAAAAUAAGAAUCAAAGAAGAAAAUGCAAACAAAAAAAUGUGAAUUUAAAAACGCAAAUAAGAAAUAAAAACAAAUUUGCCAAAAAAAUUAGAAAAGCAACAAAAAAGAAUAAAAAUGAAAAGACAAAAGAUUUAAAACAAAAAAAGAAUAUAAAAAAGUUUUAAAAAAUGAAAGCAUAUGAAAAAAAAAAAGCAAAAAGAAAGAAAAUUUUGAAGGAAAAAAGUUAUUGAAAAACUAUAAAAUAGAAAAAAAAUAGCAAAAAUAAGAUAAAAAUAAAAAAUAAAAUAAAAAAGAUUCACAAAAUAAAAAUUAAAAAUUUUGAAGUUUAUUCAAAUUUUUUGAAAUAUAAAUAAAAAAUAAAGGAAAAAAAAUUAAGAGAAAAUAUUAAUAUAAAAGAAAAAAUAAAAUAAAAUACUAAAAAAAUUACAAUUAAAAAUAAACAAAAACAAAAAGUAAAAAAGUAAAAAAAUAAAAAAUUAGAGAAUUAAAAAAAUAUAAAACGAUAAAAUGAAUAAAAAAAAUUUUGUUUAGAAUAUAUAAAAAAAACAAAAAGAUAUAAAAAAUCAAAGACAAAAAAUAAAAUAAAAGUCAAUAAAAAAUAUAAAUAAAAUCAAAAGAAAGUUCACAAAAAAAGCAAAAGUCUAAGAUUUUAAAAUUGUAAAGAAGAAAUAAAAAAAAAAAGAUAUAAGAAAAAGCAAGAAAACAAUAAAAAAUGAAAAUACAAAAUACAAAAUAUAUAAAAAUAAUUAAAACAAAAAAAAGAAAGCAAAUGAACAAAUAAAUUAAAAGAAAAGAAGAAUUAAUGAAAAAUUAUAAAAAUAAAAUAGAUAAUAGCGAAAAAAAUGCGACAAACCAAAAGAAGAUAAGUUUAAAAAAUAAAGUAAAUAUCCAUAACAUUAUAAAAUUUUUAUAAAAAAUAACAAUAAUUAACAAUAAAAAAUAAAAGAAAAAAUAAAAUAGAAGAAUAUUAAAGCAAAAGGAAAAAGAUAAAAUAAGUACUAAAAAAGAGAAAAUUUAAAAAUAAGCAAAAACACAAUUAAAAAAAAGUAAGAAAAUGAAAAAAUAGUCAAAAGAAAAAAUUAAAAAAAUAUAAAAACGAAUAAAAAUGAAAAAAAAAAGAACAAGACAAUAGAAAAAAUUUUAGUUUAUAAAAUACAAACAUAAAAUAUAAAAUAUAACAAAUAAUAAGAAAUAAAGAUAUAAAAAAUUAAAAAAAGAAAAAAGUUAAUAAAAAAUAAAAACAAAAGAAAAAAUUAUGGAUAAAAAACACAAAUUAAAAAGAAAUGCCAAAAAAAAACCCAAAAAUAAAAUGAAGAAAAACCUUAAGAAAAAAAAUGAAAAAAUUAAAGAUAAAAAGUAAAAAGAGUACAAAAAGAAAAAAAAAUAAUAAAAAAUAAUGUAAAUGAUCAAUUAGAUUAGAGCAACAAAAAGAUCAAAGUAACAAAGAAAAUACAUAGUGAAAGAAUAAUAUAAUGAAGACAAGAAAGAAGGUAUUUUGUAAAAAAAAAAAAAAAAAAACAUACUAUAUAACAAAAAUAUAAUAAAUGAAAAAUUAAGAAAAUGUAUAAAAAGUAAACAAAUAAAGAAAUUAAAAAUCUCUACAAAGUUAAAUCUUUAAUUUAUGUUUUAAAACUUAAUUUGAAUUUGUAAGUUUAGAUGUAAAAUAUUUUGAUUUGAAUUUAUUGAUUUAAAUUUAAAAUUUUUAAUUUUUAAAUCGUUAAAAAUAUAAAAAUAUAAAUACAUGAAGUAAAUAGUGAUAGAUAUAACAAUUCCAAACUAAUGUUAUUAUAUAUAAGCCAAUAAAAUUCCAAAAGAAAAUAACAAAGAUAAUUAUUAUCUCUUAACAAAUUGUAUUAAAUAAAAGAUAAAUAUUAUACAAUCCAAAAUAAUAAAUAAAAUAAUCCAAAUUUUAUUAAAUAAAAGAUAAAUAUUAUAUAAUAUAAUUUUGUUAAUUAGAUAAAUUACACGAUAAAUAAAAAUAAAUUUCAAGAUAAAAUACAAUAUGAUUUUAAUUAGAUAUCUAAUUAGUAAAGAUUUAUGAAAAUAUAAGUAAAGAAAGAAAUAAAAAACAUUAAAGCAAAACAAAAAAGAUAAAUAAAAUAUAAAAUAAACAAAAAUGCAAUAAAAAACUAUAAGAAGUAAGAAAAUCAAAAAUAAAAAAUAAAAAAAGACAAAAAUGAAAUGAAAUGAGAAAAUAGAAAAAAAAAUACAAAAAAUUGAAAAACAUAUAAAAAAUAAUAAGAAAACAAUAUAAAAAAUCAAAGACAAAAAAUUAAAAAUGAAAAAAAUUAAUGCAAAAUAAAAACAAAAACAAAAGAAGAAAAUGCAACAAAAAAAAACUAUAAGAAUUUAAAAAUGAAAAUAAGAAAUAAAAAGAAAUUUCUAAAAGAAUUAAGAAAAGAAUAAAAAAUGAAAAGACAACAUUUAUGAAAAAAAAAAUGGAAACAAGAAAUAAAAAGAAUUUUGCGAAAAAAAUUAGAAAAACAAGAAAAAAAUAAAAAAUGAAGAGGCAAGAAUAUUAAAUAAAAUAAAAAGAUAAAAAAGUUUUGUAGAAAUUUUUAAAACGAAGAAAAAUGUGAAAAGAAAAAAAAUGAAAAAGAAAAAAGAGUUAAUGAAAAAUUAUAAAAAUAAAACAGUAAAUAACCAACAACGAUAAAUAAAAAAAAGAAAAGAAAAAAGAUAGAAAAAUAAAAAACAUGAUAAAAAUUUAUGAAAAUAUAAAUAAAGAAAGAAAUAAAAAAUAAAAAUGAAAAAAGAAAAAAAAUAUUUAUGCAAAACAAAAAAGAUAAAUAAAAUACAAAAGAAUAUAAAAUAUAAAAUAAACAAAAAUGCGAUAAAGAAUAAAAGAAGUAAGAAAAUCAAAAAUAAAAAAAGAAAAAAAUGAAAUGAAAUGAAAAAAUAGAAAAAAAAUACAAAAAAUUAAAAAACAUAUAAAAAAUAAUAAAAAAACAAUAUAAAAAAUCAAACACAAAAAAUUAAAAAUGACAAAAGUUAAUGCAAAAUAAAAAUGAAAACAAAAGAAGAAAAUGCAACAAAAAAAACUAUAAGAAUUUAAAAAUGAAAAUAAAAAUAAAAAAAAAUUUGUAAAAGAAUUAAGAAAAGAAUACAAAUGAAAAGACAAGAUUUAUGAAAAAAAAAAUCCAAGGAAGUAUAAAAAAAAUGGAAACAAGAAAUAAAAAGAAUUUUGUGAAAAAAAUUAGAAAAACAAGAAAAAAUAAAAAAUAAAAGGCAAAAAUAUGAAACAAAAUAAAAAGAUAAAAAAGUAUUGUAGAAAUUUUUAAAACAAAGAAAAAUGUGAAAAGAAAAAAAAAUAUGAAAGCACAUGAAAAGAUAAGUAAAAAAAUGAAAGGAAAAAGAGUUAAUGAAAAAUUAUAAAAAUAAAACAGAAAAUAACCAACAACGAUAAAUAAAAAAAAAGAAAAAAGAUAGAAAAAUAAAAAACAUGAUAAAAAUUUAUGAAAAUAUAAAUAAAGAAAUAAAAAAUAAAAAUAAAAUACGAAAAAAAUAUUAAAGCAAAACAAAAAAGAUAAAUAAAAUACAAAAAAAUAUAAAAUAUAAAAUAAACAAAAAUGCGAUAAAAAAUAUAAGAAGUAAGAAAAUCAAAAAUAAAAAAAGACAAAAAUGAAUUGAAAUGAAAAAAUAGAAUAAAAAAACAAAAAAUUGAAAGACAAAAAAAAAUAAGAAAACAAUAUAAAAAAUCAAAGACAAAAAAUUAAAAAUGAGAAAAGUUAAUGCAAAAUAAAAACGAAAACAAAAGAAGAAAAUGCAACAAAAAAAAACUAUAAGAAUUUAAAAAUGAAAAUAAAAAAUAAAAAAAAUUUCUAAAAGAAUUAAGAAAAGAAUAAAAAUGAAAAGACAACAUUUAUGAAAAAAAAAAUGGAAACAAGAAAUAAAAAGAAUUUUGAGAAAAAAAUUAGAAAAACAAGAAAAAAUAAAAAAUGAAAAGGCAAAAUACGAAACAAAAUAAAAAGAUAAAAAAGUAUUGUAGAAAAUUUUAAAACAAAGAAAAAAAGAAAAAAAAAAUAUGAAAGCACAUAAAAAGAUAAGUAAAAAAAUGAAAAAAGAAAAAGUGUUAAUGAAAAAUUAUAAAAAUAAAACAAAAAAUAACCAGCAACGAUAAAUAAAAAAAAAGAUAGAAAAAUAAAAAAUAAAAAACAUGAUAAAAGUUUAUGAAAAUAUAAAUAAAAUAAGAAAUAAAAAAUAAAAAUAAAAUAAGAAAAAAAUAUUCAAACAAAACAAAAAAGAUAAAUAAAAUACAAAAGAAUAUAAAAUAUAAAAUAAACAAAAAUGCGAUAAAAAAUAUAAGAAGUAAGAAAAUCAAAAAUAAAAAAAGACAAAAAUGAAAUCAAAUGAAAAAAUACAAAAAUUUGAAAAACCUAAAAAAUAAUAAGAAAACAAUAUAAAAAAUCAAAGAGAAAAUUAAAAAUGAGAAGUUAAUGCAAAAUAAAAAUGAAAACAAAAGAAGAAAAUGCAACAAAAAAAAAACUAUAGGAAUUUAAAAAUGAAAAUAAGAAAUAAAAAGAAAUUUGUAAAAGAAUUAAGAAAAGAAUAAAAAUGAAAAGACAAGAUUUAUGAAAAAAAAAAAAUGGAAACAAGAAAUAAAGAGAAUUUUGUGAAAAAAAUUAGAAAAACAAGAAAAAAUAAAAAAUGAAAAGGCAAAAAUAUGAAACAAAAUAAAAAGAUAAAAAAGUAUUGUACAAAUUUAAAAAAAAAAUGUGAAAAGAAAAAAAAUAUGAAAGCACAUGAAAAGAUAAGUAAAAAAAUGAAAAAGGAUAAAGAGUUAAUGAAAAAUUAUAAAAAUAAAACAAAAAAUAACCAGCAACGAUAGAUAAAAAAAAAAAGAAAAAAGAUAGAAAAAUAAAAAAAUAAAAAACAUGAUAAAAAUUUAUGAAAAUAUAAAUAAAGAAUAAAUAAAAAUAAAAUUAGAAAAAAUAUUAAAGCAAAACAAAAAUAAAUAAAUAAAAUACAAAAAUAUAUAAAAUAUAAAAUAAACAAAAAUACGAUAAAACAUAUAAAAAGUAAGAAAAUCAAAAAUAAAAAAAGACAAAAAUGAAAUGAAAAAAUACGAAAAAAUACAAAAAAUUGAAAGACAUAAAAAAUAAUAAGAAAACAAUAUAAAAAAUCAAAGACAAAAAAUUAAAAAUGAUAAAAGUUAAUGCAAAAUAAAAAUGAAAACAAAAGAAGAAAAUGCAACAAAAAAAAACUAUAAGAAUUUAAAAAUGAAAAUAAGAACAAAAAAAAAUUUGUAAAAAAAUUAAGAAAAGAAUAAAAAUGAAAAAAAAGAUUUAUAAAAAAAAAUCCAAGUAUAAAAAAAAAUGGAAACAAGAAAUAAAAAGAAUUUUGUGAAAAAAAUUAGAAAAAUAGGAAAAAAUAAGAAAUGAAGAGGCAAAAAUAUGAAACAAAAUAAAAAGAUAAAAAAGUAUUGUAAAAAUUUUUAAAACAAAGAAAAAUGUGAAAAGAAAAAAAAAUAUUAAAGCACAUGAAAAGAUAAGUAAAAAAAUGAAAAAGAAAAAAGAGUUAAUGAAAAAUUAUAAAAAUAAUACAAAAAAUAACAAACAACGAUAAAUAAAAAAAGAAAAGAUAAAAAAUUAAAAAACAAGAUAAAUUUAUGAAAAUAUAAAUAAAAAAAGAAAUAAAAAUAUAAUAAAUAUAAUAAAUAUUAAAGCAAAACAAAAAAGAUAAAUAAAAUACAAAAAUAUAAAAUAUAAAAUAAACAAAAAUGCGAUAAAAAAAUAUAAGUAAGAAAAUCAAAAAUGAAAUGAAAUGAGAAAAUAGAAAACAAAUACAAAAAAUUGAAAAACAUAUAAAAAAUAGUAAUAAAACAAUAUAAAAAAUCAAAGACAAAAAAUUAAAAAUAAGAAAAAUUAAUGCAAAAUAAAAAUAAAAACAAAAGAACAAAAUGCAACAAAAAAAACUGUAAGAAUUUAAAAAUGAAAAUAGAAAUAAAAGAAAUUUGUAAAAGGAUUAAGAAAAGAAUAAAAAUGAAAAGACAAGAUUUAUGAAAAAAAAAAUCAAAAGAAGUAUAAAAAAAAAUGGAAACGAAAAAAAAUAAAAAAUGAACAGGCAAAAAUAUGAAACAAGAUAAAAUGAUAAAAAAGUUUUGUAGAAAUUUUUAAAACAAAAAAAAAUGUGAAACCCAAAAAAAAUAUGAAAGCACAUGAAAAGAUAAGUAAAAAAAUGAAAAAUUUAAAAUGAAAAAAGAAAAAGAGUUAAUGAAAAAUUAUAAAAAUAAAACAAAAAAUAACCAACAACGAUAAAAAAAAAAAGAUAAAAGAUAAAAAAAUAAAAAAUAAAAAACACGAUAAAAUUUUAUGAAAAUAUAAAUAAAGAAAGAAAUAAAAAAUAAACCAAAAUAAAAAAUGAAAAAAAAAAAAGAAAAAAAUAUUGAAGCAAAACAAAAAAGUUGAAUAAAAUACAAAAAAAUAUAAAAUAUAAAAUAAACAAAAAUGCAAUAAAAAUAUAAAAAGUAAGAAAAUCAAAAAUAAAAAAUAAAAAAGACAAAUGAAAUGAAAUAAGAAAAUACAAAAAAUUGAAAAACAUAUAAAAAAUAAUAAGAAAACAAUAUAAAAAAUCAAAGACAAAAAAUUAAAAAUGAAAAAAGUUAAUGCAAAAUUAAAAUGAAAACAAAAAAAAACUAUAAGAAUUUAAAAAUGAAUAUAAAAAAUAAAAAGAAAUUUGUAAAAUAAAAAUGAAAAGACAAGAUUUAUGAAAAAAAAUAAUCCGACGAAGUAUAAAAAAAAUGAAAACAGGAAAUAAAGAGAAUUUUAUGAAAAAAAUUAGAAAAUGAAGAAAAAAUAAAAAAAUGAAGAGGCAAAAAUAUGAAAUAAAAUAAAAAGAUGAAAAAAGUUUUGUAGAAAUUUUUAAAACAAAGAAAAAUGUGAAAAAAAAAAAAUAUGAAAGCACAUGAAAAGAUGAGUAAAAAAAUGAAAAACUUAAAAGGAAAAAGGAAAAAGAGUUAAUGAAAAAUUAUAAAAAUAAAACAAAAAAUAACCAACAAAGAUAAAUAAAUAAGGAAGAGAAAAAAGACAGAAAAAUUAAAAAACUAAAAACAUGAUAAAAAUUUAUAAAAAUAUAAAUAAAGAAAGAAAUAAGAAAUAAAAUUAAAAUUAAAAUUAAAAAAAAAUAUUAAAGCAAAACAAAAAAGAUAAAUAAAAGACAAAAAAAUAUAAAAUAAACAAAAAUACGAUAAAAAAUAUUUGUAAGAAAAUCAAAAAUACAAAAAUGAAAUGAAAUGAGAAAAUAAAAAAAAACAAAAUUAAAAAACAUAUAAAAAAAUAAUAAGAAAACAAUAUAAAAAAUCAAAGACAAAAUUAAAAAUGAGAAAAGUUAAUGCAAAAUAAAAAUGAAAACAAAAGAAGAAAAUGCAACAAAAAAAAAAACGAUAAGAAUUUAAAAAUGAAAAUAAGAAAUAAAAAAAAUUGUAAAAAAAUUAAGAAAAGAAUAAAAAUAAAGACAAAAGAUUUAUGAAAAACAAAAAAUUCAAGGAAGUGUAAAAAAAAUGGAAACAAGAAAUAAAAAUAACUGUGAAAAAAAUUAGAAAAAUAAGAAAAAAUAAAAAAUGAAGAGGCAAAAAUAUGAAAUAAAAUAAAAAGAAAAGUUUUGUAAAAAAUUUUAAAACAAAGAAAAAAGUGAAAACAAAAAAAAAAUGAAAGCACAUUAAAAAAAUAAGUAAAAAAAAUUUUAAAAGGAAAGAGUUGAUGAAAAACAAAAAAGAUAAACAAAAAUACAAUAAAAAUAUAAAAAAUCAAAAAUAAAAAAAUAAAAAAGACUAAAAUAAAAAAAAGAAAAUAUAUUAAAUAAAAUAAUUAUUAUCUCUUAAUAAAAGAUAAAUAUUAUACAGUCCAAAAUAAUAAAAAAAAAUCAAAAUUAUAUUAAAUAAAAAAUAAAUAUUAUAUAAUAUAAUUUUGUUAAUUACAUAAAUUACACAAUAAAUAAAAAUAAAUUUCAAGAUCAAGAGGAUCUUAAUUAGAUAUCUAAUUAAUAUACAUACACAUAACAUCUUCCAUUUUUAAUGAAGUCAAAGUCUCAUUCAACAAUGCUUAAUAAUAAGGUGAUCUGCAUUUAAGUUAAACACAAGCAACAUGCCACAUAUAUAAAGAACAAUGCUGCAUUUAAGUUAAACACAAGCAACAUCCCACAUGUAUAAAGAACAAUGCUAUUUUAGAAAUAAAGACAAUCAAACUUGAACUUCAUUGCUCAAGCAAAAAGAUUCAAGGCAAAGAUUGCCUACAAAAUAAACCUAAUCACAUCCAUUGCUCACAAAUCAGACAUUAUAAAUGUUUUAACUCGAAAACCUAAAGAUACGAAAGUAGAAGGCCUUUAAAAACCUAAAGAGAAAUUAAAACUAAAGCAACAAAACCUUAACAGAAAAAGAUUAUAAUGAAAGGCCAAAGAUAAGAGGUAGUUUUGCAUCUCAACAUAAAUAUACAACAAUUAUAUACCAAAGUUAAAAAACAACAGCCACCAACCACAUCAUAAGUCAGGAUGCUUCCAAAAUAACAGUGUUACUUAAGAAAACAAAGUCUAUAUUAUAAUCAGAAACACAGAAUUUUAGCCACUUUAAUCAAACUCUUCAUGAUCUGAAAUGUACUAGAACAAGUACAGCUAUCAUCGAAAGUUACCAUACAAUACAACAAAAAUUCUAUGCAAGAUCAUAGACUUUCAAAGAAUCCAAUAAGAAAGAGGCAAUCUUCCAUCUCAGUGCUUAACUAGAUUUAAGUUUAUGAAAUUAAUCUUAAGAAAGUAAUCAAUCAUGCAACAAAGUAAAGUGAAAUCAGCAAAACAAGAAGAAUCAAACACAACACAAGAAGAAAGAGGUACUCUUCAUUGUAAGCACUCAUCCUCAGUGCGAGGUUGGAUUAAGUUUUUGAAAUUAAACCUAAGAUUAUAAUUUGUCAUGCAACAGAGUUGAACUAGCAAAAUAAAAAAAUAAAAAAUAGAAAACUCAACCAUACAAAUUUGGAGUACACUGCUAUACAAUCUCUAAUUCCUCUCUCUAGCAAAUCGUGUUCGGAGUACACGAUCAACUAAUUUCCGUAUAGACUACUAAAUGCAACCACAAUUAAGAAAAGUUUACAAAACUACAAUCUGUACACAAAAGAUAAAACUAAAAUUUAAAUGGAAUGUUAAAGCAUAAGAGAUCAAAUAUUAAUUGAAGUUCAGAUCAAACUCCAGCAAAUCAAAAGCACUACAACAAAAAAUUAGACAUUAACCAAAAGCUAUGAGAAUGAAAUCUAGAAGCCAACUUGCAGAAUAAAACCAACAAACACACAUAGAAAUUUUGAGACUUUAAUUCCUUCUAUCCUGAAAGGUAUGCUUGGAGCACAUAGCCCAUUAAGCUUCAAAGAGAAACAGAUGACAACUAGGCACACUCAUUAAUGAAGAAACCACAACCCAAGAAUUUCUUUUGCAGUAAUAUUCUACUAAUGCAUUCUCAAACAACUUCAUCAAAUUAGAUGCAACCACAAUAAAAAGUUUGACAACAUCAUCAAUAACUAAAAAAGCCAAGCCAGUGAAACCUAAAAACCUCAUCUGUCAUGCCACAGAGAGAAAAACAAGAAGAAAACUCCCAUACACACAGAGCCACACAAAUUUUUAAUCCUUAAAUCUUACACACAACCAUACAAAUUUAGCAUUCAUAAUUCCCCUGCAAGUCAUUCUUGGACCACACAACGCAUUAAGUUUCAAACAGACCAUCAAAACACAACCACACUAAAAGAAAAACCCAAGGAAAUUUUCCAAAAUAAAGUUACAAAGCCCUAAUUUAUGUAAAAAUUUAAAAAUGACACAAAAAGAAUCCAGAGACAAUCUCAAUAAGAAAGACACCAACUGAGAGCCUAUGACAACAUAUAAUUAGAGUUUCAAAGACUCCAACAAAAGGAAAUAAUCUUCCUUUUAAGCAUUCAACCACAAUGUCAAAAUUAAAUUACAGAAAUUGAACCUAGCAAACCAAUCUGCCCUGUAACAAAUAAAGUGAAACCAACAAAAUAAAAACCUCCCUAAACACAUACCUACACACACAAGAGGCACAGAAAUUGAAUUCACUGCUUGAAACACACAAGGAGAAAAACAACAGGAAAACUCUCAUACACAGUCACAUAAAUUUUUAAUCCUUAAAUGCUACACAACCAUAAAAAUUUAGAAUCCUUAAUUCCCCCUACACUACAAAACAAUAAGGAAACUACCAUACACAUAUUUAGAGUUCCAAAGAAUCCAGCAAAAGGAAAUAAUCUU